UGGGGAAUUUUCCGCAAUGGGCGAAAGCCUGAUGGUGCAACGCCGCGUGGAGGAUGACGGUCUUCGGAUUGUAAACUCCUGUCAUCAGGGAGUAAGACCUGGGUGUUAAUAGCACACAGGGUUGAUAGUACCUGAAGAGGAAGGGACGGCUAACUUCGUGCCAGCAGCCGCGGUAAUACGAAGGUCCCAAGCGUUGUUCGGAUUCACUGGGCGUAAAGGGAGCGUAGGCUGUGCGGUAAGUCAGAUGUGAAAUCCCGGGGCUCAACCCCGGAACUGCAUCCGAUACUGCCGUACUAGAGUAUUGGAGAGGUAACAGGAAUUCACGGUGUAGCAGUGAAAUGCGUAGAUAUCGUGAGGAAGACCAAUGGCGAAAGCAUGUUACUGGACAAUCACUGACGCUGAGGCUCGAAGGCCAGGGUAGCGAAAGGG
rnacentral:rRNA from 1 species